rnacentral:rRNA from 1 species
GAAACCNGGGGACCGCAGGGCCUGGGGCGAGAAGAGGAGCGUCUGAUUAGCUAGUUGGCGGGGUAACGGCCCACCAAGGCUUCGAUCAGUAGCCGGCCUGAGAGGGUGAUCGGCCACACUGGAACUGAGACACGGUCCAGACUCYUACGGGAGGCAGCAGUGGGGAAUUUUGCGCAAUGGAYGAAAGUCUGACGCAGCAACGCCGYGUGGGUGAUGAAGGUCUUYGGAUUGUAAAACCCUGUYUUYGAGGACCAAGGUGGGAGCGUUAAUAUGCGCUUCUGCUUGACGGUACUCGGAGAGGAAGCCCCGGCUAACUYUGUGCCAGCAGCYGCKGUAAUACAGAUGGUAUUCGGAAUUAU